GCUUCCAUAGCUCAGUCGGUAGAGCACUUCACUCGUAAUGAAGGGGUCGCCGGUUCAAGUCCGGCUGGGAGCU
rfam:Clostridiales bacterium CHKCI001 isolate CHKC1 genome assembly, contig: {contig32}